UACGUAGGGGCAAGUGUUGUCCGGAUUUAUUGGGCGUAAAGAGCUCGUAGGCGGUUUGGUAAGUCAGGUGUGAAAUCUCCACGCUCAACGUGGAGGGGCCACCUGAUACUGCCAUGACUGGGAGUCCGGUAGAGGAGUGUGGAAUUCCCGGUGUGAGUGGUGAAAUGCGUAGAGAUCGGGAGGAACACCAGUGGCGAAGGCGGCUCGCUGGGCCGGACCUGACGCUGAGGUGCGGAA
rnacentral:rRNA from 1 species